rnacentral:lncRNA from 1 species
AGAGAAAUUCAGACUAGAAUUGUAGAGGACAACCUGGUAUUUCACAAUGUGGAAAGCAUCAGCCUGACUACCAUUUCUCGGACUCUGACCAAACACAGAGUUGGAAUGAAACAGUUGUACACAGUUCCUUUUGAAAGGAACAGUGAGCGGGUCAAGGAACUCCGGCACCAAUACGUCCAGGUAUGGUGUCUAUCCAAUAUGUCUUGUUCUACAGUGAGUUUUACACUAUGCUACUCUACAUGUAGACAUGGAUUACAGUGCAUACAGUAGGACACUAUGCUACUCUACAUGUAAACAUGGGUUACAGUACAUACAGUAGGACACUAUGCUACUCUACAUGUAAACAUGGGUUACAGUACAUACAGUAGGACACUAUGCUACUCUACAUGUAAACAUGGGUUACAGUACAUACAGUAGGACACUAUGCUACUCUACAUGUUAACAUGGGUUACAGUACAUACAGUAGGACACUAUGCUACUCUACAUGUUAACAUGGGUUACAGUAGGACACUAUGCUACUCUACAUGUAAACAUGGAUUACAGUACAUACAGUAGGACACUAUGCUACUCUACAUGUUAACAUGGGUUACAGUACAUACAGUAGGACACUAUGCUACUCUACAUGUAAACAUGGGUUACAGUACAUACAGUAGGACAUACUGAAAAGCAUUUACACAUACUGUGUUUGAUUUCUUUCAGAGAGUCAUGGAGUUGGAGGCUAAUCAGACCCCAUGUGAAAUAAUUUAUGUAGACGAGGCAGGGUUUAACCUGGCAAAAACACAUCGGCGGGGAAGAAACGUUGUCGGGUAAAGGGCCACCGUUGAUGUGCCGGGUCAGAGAGGAGCAAAUAUCACAAUGUGUGCCGCAAUCUCGAGCGCUGGUUUGGUCCUGCAGAAAUGCCAGAUUGGUCCCUACAACAGUGAGAGCCUUCUUUUGUUUUUAGAUGACCUCCACCAACAACUGGUGCCAGAAGCAAAAAGAGAACAGCUGGGAGGAAACAUGAGG